UACAGAGGUGGCAAGCGUUGUUCGGAAUUACUGGGCGUAAAGGGCUCGUAGGCGGCCAACUAAGUCACACGUGAAAUCCCCAGGCUUAACCUGGGAACUGCGUGUGAUACUGGAUGGCUUGAAUUCGGGAGAGGGAUGCAGAAUUCCAGGUGUAGCGGUGAAAUGCGUAGAUAUCUGGAGGAAUACCGGUGGCGAAGGCGGCAUCCUGGACCGACAUUGACGCUGAGGAGCGAAAGCUAGGGGAGCAAACAGG
rnacentral:rRNA from 1 species